rnacentral:lncRNA from 1 species
AGGAUGCGUGGAACAUUCACCCCCCGGGCCCUGCUCUCCUCCUCUACCUCUCUUUUGCCUUCCUUUCCAGCAAUUCAUCUCCACGAGGCCAUUUGCAAGUGUAGGCACUUGCCUCCUUAUCCAAUCCUUAUCCCACACUUUCGAACAUGAGCCCAUAUUAUAACAACCAUCAAUGCUUCAAUUGCCACUAUCAUAACUAUAAUUAUUAUUUGCAUCAUCAUCACCACCAC